GCUGCUGCGUGGAGGCGGGGUCUAUCCCAGCCAAUAGACGCACGACUCCGAGGGGCCGGGCGGAAGAAGCCGCGUUCCGCCGCUCGGUUGGGGCGGGACGAGGCGGGCCCCACCCGGAGCUCCGGGGCGCUCUCCGGCCCAGAGCGGCAGGUACAGCCGCGGCCCCGCGCCUUCCCCCGGAGAGACCUCGCUUUUCCCCGGUGGGACCCGUUCCUCUCGCCCUUCCCGUGCGCACCGUUCCCCUUGGCACGAACAACAGCCACAGCCGCCUUAAGGCGCAUGCGCAAAGCGCCUCCGCCGAGCCACCUUAAACCAGCCGCUGUGGCGCUGAGAGCUCGCCUGUGAUUGGGCGCCUGCCGCAUGAUCAAAGUAACAGGCACGCUGAUUGGAGGAGAGCUGAGGCGGCUGUUGUCUCGGCAACCGGGAGUCCACAUUCCCGGUGCCGCCGAGGGCUGGGGAUGCACCGGCAGGAGCGGGCAGGAGCGGGCAGGUUUCAAGAUUUCCUUAUAAACACCACAGGAAAGGGAUCUCAAACUGGAGAAAAAGAUAUUUAAGUCUCAGUCAAAAGGAUUUCAGUACAACCAACUCAUCCCAGCAUGGAUUCCCUCACCAAGGGAGUAACAUCUUCCUUCCAGUCAAAGACUUCCCACCUAACAAGGAACAACGAAUUCACUCCAGAUUUAUUCCAGAAUCUGCAGCCUCAGUCACACAAACCCGCCAGGGAAGCAAAGGAAACUCCUUCCAGCCCUGCAGAGCCACACCACACACCGAGCUCCUCAGCUGCCUGCCUGAUGAUGCAAGGAGUGAAUAAGCACGAAUAAAGACACAGAAACUGGGUGUUGUUUGUAGAAGUGAGGAGCAGAGCCCUCCGCCCAGCGCUGGGGAUACCGGAGCUCUUGCACAACUCGGCUCUCAGCCUGCUGCUCCUUUUUAUGCAUCUCUGUCCCUGUGGGCACUUUUCCACCAGGAGCACUGGGGAAGUUUUCCUUCCUCCCCAGCUGGAGGAGGAAGCAGCUCCUGGUCUGUGAGCAGCAGGGCUGGGAUGCCAGAGUGGGAUUCCUGCGUCAGGAUUUCCCUCAGACUCCGCACACCGUGAGCCUGUGCUGGCCUGCCAGGCUGGCUCACGGGCAGCUAAUUAGCGCCCUAAUUUCUAAGAAUUGGAAGAGGAUCGUUAAUUAAAAUUGGUUUGAAAGCUUC